GGGUCAGUAGGUUGGUCGUGCCACCGGUACGUACUGGUCUCACUGAUUCCUCCUUCCUGAAGAACCGUAAUGCCAUUAAUUUGGUGUUGCGGGGGAAACAGGGCUGUUACUUUGAAAAAAUUAGAGUGUUUAAAGCAAGCUAACGCUUGAAUACAUUAGCAUGGAAUAAUGAAAUAGGACGAUCGAUCCUAUUUUGUUGGUUUCUAGGAUUGACGUA
rnacentral:rRNA from 1 species